CAAGUCGUACGGUGGUAGCAAUACCAUAGUGGCGAAAGGGAUAGGAAUACAUAGAUUAUCUGCCCAAAGGACGUGGAUAGCGGCGGGAAACUGCCGGUAAUACACGAUAAUUUCUCCGGAACAAAGGUGUGAUUCCGCCUUUGGAUGAGUCUAUGUCCUAUUAGCUAGUUGGCGGUGUAAUGGACCACCAAGGCUAUGAUGGGUACGAGGCGUGAGAGCGUGUCCUCGAUCACUGGAACUGAGACACUGUCCAGACACCUACGGGUGGCUGCAGUCGAGAAUCUUCGGCAAUGGGCGAAAGCCUGACCGAGCGAUGCCGCGUGUGUGAUGAAGGUCUUCGGAUUGUAAAGCACUGUAAGUUGGGAGGAAAUGUAUGAGGGUUCUCCCUCAUAUUUGACCUAUCUUCAAAGUAAGGACGGGCUAAGUUCGUGCCAGCAGCCGCGGUAAGACGAACUGUCCAAACGUUAUUCGGAAUCACUGGGCUUAAAGGGUGCGUAGGCUGUCUGGUAAGUGGGGUGUGAAAUCCCUCAGCUCAACUGAGGAAUUGCGCUCCAAACUGUUCAAGCUUGAAGGAAUGUAGGGGUAAGCGGAACCUGCGGUGGAGCGGGUGAAAUGCUUUGAUAUUGCAAAGGAACAACAAAUGGCGUAGGCAGCUUGCUGGGCAUUUUCUGACGCUGAGGCACGAAAGCCAGGGUAGCGAACGGAAUUAGAUACUCCGGUAGUCCUGGCUGUAAACGCUGAGCACUUGGUCGAAGGACACUCCAUAGUCUUUUGGCCGUAGAGAAAUUGGUAAGUGCUCCGGCUGGGGAGUAUGGUCGCAAGGCUGAAACUCAAAGGAAUUUGACGGGGGCUCACACAAGCGGUGGAGGAUGUGGCUUAAUUCGAGGCUACGCGAAGAACCUUAUCCUAGGCUUGACAUGCUGGAUACCUUUCCUGAAAGGGAGUCUGGUUGCCCGCAAGGGUGAAACAAGCACAGGUGCUGCAUGGCUGUCGUCAGCUCGUGUCGUGAGAUGUUGGGUUAAGUCCCGCAACGAGCGCAACCCCUAUUACUAGUUGCCAUCAUGAAGUUGGGCACUCUAGUGAGACUGCCGGUGAUAAACCGGAGGAAGGUGGGGAGGACGUCAAAUCAUCAUGCCCCUUAUGACCUGGGCUACACACGUGCUACAAUGGAUGGUACAACGAGUCGCCAGCCCGCGAGGGUGCGCUAAUCUCUUAAAACCAUUCUCAGUUCGGAUUGCAGGCUGCAACUCGCCUGCAUGAAGUCGGAAUCGCUAGUAAUCGCGGAUCAGCACGCCGCGGUGAAUACGUUCCCGGGUCUUGUACACACCGCCCGUCACACCACGGGAGUUGGGGGUGCCCGAAGUCGAUGGCCUAACCUUUAUGGAGGGCGUCGCCUAAGGCAAAACCGAUGACUGGG
rnacentral:rRNA from 1 species